UACAAACAGGAGGCUUUCAGUGUCUAUUUAGGGGAGGAGGAAGGCGCAAUGUCUACAUCGAACAAUGGGUAGUGUUUGUUGAAACAACCACAAGAUGCUUCAACUGAUGAAUAUCCGCCAGCUUCAUCAUCACAGAAGGACGACCGUGCACGAUUCGUAAAUGCCCCCACAACAACCAUAGAAUGCCACGACCAGUAUAAAGCCCUGAACUUUACCCAGCUGAACCUGUCGUGGACUUGACAGGGAGACGUGUGUUUGGACGUCCAAGGCUACAGAUCAGGCUGGCUGAAACUUGGACAGGCGCAGAAAGAGGAGUGGAACGGACUCCCUCAAACAGUAAGUUCGAGAUUCGUCAAGGAAAUGAAUACUAGUACUUGAUACAUCGUGACCAUAUUGCGCAUAUCUGAACCAACAGCGUCAAAUUUAACAAGCUGGCAGUUGUAACAUCUUCUGUCAUAAUUCGACCCGUGAAGGUCCGGGUUAGAAUUGGUAUUCAGCAACCCAUGUUUGUCGUAAGAGACGACUAACGGAAUCGGGUGGUCAGGCUCGCUUGACACAUGUCAUCGGUUCCCAAUUGCUUGUACUGUAUUUAUUUUAAGAAAAAACUAUUUUAAGACACGUG